rnacentral:rRNA from 1 species
CACGUAGGGCGCGAGCGUUGUCCGGAAUUAUUGGGCGUAAAGAGCUCGUAGGCGGCCUGUUGCGUCCGCUGUGAAAGCCCGGGGCUUAACCCCGGGUCGGCAGUGGAUACGGGCAGGCUAGAGGUAGGUAGGGGAGAAUGGAAUUCCUGGUGUAGCGGUGAAAUGCGCAGAUAUCAGGAGGAACACCUGUGGUGUAGACAGCUUACUGGACCAUUUCUGACGCUGAGACACGAAAGCGUGGGUAGCAAACAGG